UACGAAGGGGGCUAGCGUUGUUCGGAAUCACUGGGCGUAAAGGGCGCGUAGGCGGCUGUUCAAGUCGGGGGUGAAAGCCUGUGGCUCAACCACAGAAUGGCCUUCGAUACUGGACGGCUGGAGACCGGAAGAGGUGAGUGGAACUGCGAGUGUAGAGGUGAAAUUCGUAGAUAUUCGCAAGAACACCAGUGGCGAAGGCGGCUCACUGGUCCGGUUCUGACGCUGAGGCGCGAAAGCGUGGGGAGCAAACAGG
rnacentral:rRNA from 1 species